UACGUAGGCAGCAAGCGUUGUUCGGAGUUACUGGGCGUAAAGGGUGCGUAGGCGGCCUUAUAAGUAUGGUGUGAAAUCUCCCGGCUUAACUGGGAGGGUGCGCUAUAGACUGUGGGGCUAGAGUGUGGGAGAGGAAAGUGGAAUUCCUGGUGUAGCGGUGAAAUGCGUAGAUAUCAGGAGGAACACCGGUGGUGUAAACGGCUUUCUGGACCAUAACUGACGCUGAGGCACGAAAGCGUGGGGAGCAAGACGG
rnacentral:rRNA from 1 species